GGGGUCGCAAUGGUCUCGACGGGGGUUAUGAACCUCGUUAAGCACGCGGAGUGCGCCCAAAUCUCCGGAGUGAUGUAAAGUCGCUCUAAUCGAUGGGCAACUAAAAUUUAAACGCUAAUAAUAACACUUUAGCAGCAGCUGCCUAAGAGCAGUUGCCGUCCUCCCGAAGAGUGCCGCGGCUUCGGCUUGGGCGUCAAUCAGCGGCAGGGUGUACAGCACCCGUUUUAAGUGAGAACCCUGUAACUUAAAACGUAAUAAAAGGGUUGCCUUGUGUCGGUUUUGUUAUUUGCACCGCCAUGAGGGAGAUUAUUCCGGUCUUUGACCUGUACUGCGAAUAACUAAGCGUGUAGAAAGGCGCGGGAAUUAGUUUUCGGACGGGAGUUCGAUUCUCCCCGACUCCAAAU
rnacentral:tmRNA from 1 species